UACGUAGGGGGCAAGCGUUGUUCGGAAUUACUGGGCGUAAAGGGCGCGUAGGCGGCCUGAUAAGUAUGGGGUGAAAUCUCACGGCUCAACCGUGAGGCUGCCUUGUAGACUGUCAGGCUUGAGCACGGUAGAGGCAGAUGGAAUUCCCGGUGUAGCGGUGGAAUGCGUAGAGAUCGGGAGGAACACCAGUGGCGAAGGCGACUACCUGGACCAGCACUGACACUGAGGCACGAAAGCGUGGGGAGCAAACAGG
rnacentral:rRNA from 1 species